rnacentral:rRNA from 1 species
ACGGGCACUUCGGUGCUAGUGGCAGACGGGUGAGUAACACGUGGGAACGUACCUUUCGGUUCGGAAUAAUUCAGGGAAACUUGGACUAAUACCGGAUACGCCCUUCGGGGGAAAGAUUUAUCGCCGAUAGAUCGGCCCGCGUCUGAUUAGCUAGUUGGUGAGGUAAUGGCUCACCAAGGCGACGAUCAGUAGCUGGUCUGAGAGGAUGAUCAGCCACAUUGGGACUGAGACACGGCCCAAACUCCUACGGGAGGGAGCAGUGGGGAAAAUUGGACAAUGGGCGCAAGCCUGAUCCAGCCAUGCCGCGUGAGUGAUGAAGGCCUUAGGGUUGUAAAGUCUUUUGUCCGGGAAGAUAAUGACUGUACCGGAAGAAUAAGCCCCGGCUAACUUCGUGCCAGCAGCCGCGGUAAUUCGAAGGGGGCUAGCGUUGCUCUUAAUCACUGGGCGUAAAGGGCGCCUAGGCGGACUCUUAAGUCGGGGGGGAAAGCCCAGGGGUCACCCCUGGAAUUUCCUUC